GAUGAACGCUAGCUACAGGCCUAACACAUGCAAGUCGAGGGGCAUCAUGAUGAUUGCUUGCAAUCAUUGAUGGCGACCGGCGCACGGGUGAGUAACGCGUAUCCACCUACCCAUGACUAAGGGAUAACCCGUCGAAAGUCGGCCUAAGACCUUAUGUCGUCCGAAGCAGGCAUCUAAUUUGGAUGAAAGAUUAAUUGGUGAUGGAUGGGGAUGCGUCUGAUUAGCUUGUCGGUGAGGUAACGGCUCACCGAGGCAACGAUCAGUAGGGGUUCUGAGAGGAAGGUCCCCCACAUUGGAACUGAGACACGGUCCAAACUCCUACGGGAGGCAGCAGUGAGGAAUAUUGGUCAAUGGACGAUAGUCUGAACCAGCCAAGUAGCGUGCAGGAUGACGGCCCUAUGGGUUGUAAACUGCUUUUAUGCGGGAAUAAAGUGAUGGACGUGUCCAUCAUUGCAUGUACCGCAUGAAUAAGGACCGGCUAAUUCCGUGCCAGCAGCCGCGGUAAUACGGAAGGUCCCGGCGUUAUCCGGAUUUAUUGGGUUUAAAGGGAGCGUAGGCUGCCGUUUAAGCGUGUUGUGAAAUGUACCGGCUCAACCGGUGAUGUGCAGCGCGAACUGGAUGGCUUGAGUACGAAGAGGGGAUGCGGAACUCGUGGGUGUAGCGGCGAAAUGCUGAGAUAUCACGAGGAACUCCUAUCGCGAAGGCAGCAUUCCGUUUCGUGACUGACGCUGAUGCUCGAAAGUGCGGGUAUCGAACAGGAUUAUAUACCCUGGUAGUCCCAGGGCGAAUUCCACAGUGGAUAUCAUGCUUAUGGAUACCGGCGACCUGGAGGAGAGAGCCCGGGACCCUGCUUUUGUUCCCUUUAUGAGGGGUUAAUUACUGGGUGGUAGUGCUUGUUUGUGUAUGUGUGGUGUGUGUGAUGUGUGGUGUGUGGUGUGGUAGGUGAUGCUGAGUGUUGUGCUGCUUGUGUGUUGUUUGUGUUUUGUGUUUUGUGAGAUGGGGUGUUGUGGAUGAUUGUUUUGUUGUGGUGGCGUAGUGGUUGGGAGUGGUGCGUUGUUGUUGUGGC
rnacentral:rRNA from 1 species